UACAGAGGGUGCGAGCGUUAAUCGGAAUUACUGGGCGUAAAGCGUGCGUAGACGGCUAUCUAAGUCGGGUGUGAAAGCCCCGGGCUCAACCUGGGAAUUGCAUUCGAGACUGAAUAGCUAGGGUACGGUAGAGGGAAGUGGAAUUUCCGGUGUAGCGGUGAAAUGCGUAGAUAUCGGGAGGAACACCUGUGGCGAAAGCGGCUCACUGGACCACAACUGACGCUGAGGCGCGAAAGCUAGGGGAGCAAACAGG
rnacentral:rRNA from 1 species